rnacentral:rRNA from 1 species
AGAUUGAACGCUGGCGGCAUGCCUUACACAUGCAAGUCGAACGGCAGCACGGGAGCAAUCCUGGUGGCGAGUGGCGAACGGGUGAGUAAUACAUCGGAACGUGCCCAAUCGUGGGGGAUAACGCAGCGAAAGCUGUGCUAAUACCGCAUAAGAUACUACGGAUGAAAGCAGGGGAUCGGCAAGACCUUGCGCGAAUGGAGCGGCCGAUGGCAGAUUAGGUAGUUGGUAGAGGUAAGGCUCACCAAGCCUUGAUCUGUAGCGUGGUCU